ACACAUCACAGACAAAAAUGGAUAAUCACGGAAAGUGCAAUAAAAACUUCAGCAAACACGAACUUGAAGUGAUGGUGAAGGAAAUAGAAGCCUGGAAAAGGUUGCUGUUGGGGAGACUCGAUAACUGCGGAGUCACUGCAGAGACCAAAAAGAGAGGAUGGGCGAGAGUGGCCGAGUCUAUCUCUGCCGUUCGGGGAUAUGCCAAUGACGCCGUAAAAUAGAAAAGUCAGCUGCUAAGAAGAAUGGAGCUGAGAGAAGCAGGGAGUUGAAGAAGACUCAACCAUUCAUGUGGCCCAGCUGGAGGAGAAGGUGUUUUCCAUGAUAGGAGAGACGUGGUAGAGGAAUUGCGGUCUGGCAUAGACUCGGGCUGUGCAACCCGUAAGUUAGCUAUCUAGCUAACGUGUAACAACAUUAGCUAAUUAGCCAACAUUAGUUAACGACGUUAACGUUAGCUAAGUUCGCCAAGUUCUUCUUUGCAAAUUGACAUACUAACUCUAGCUAUAUAACAUUUGUAGAUAUAUAUAUAUAUAUAUUAUAUUGUUAAUUACUAGCUAGCUAGAUAAUGCACGUUUAAUUUGUUUUCUUGCAGUAAUUCCAUUUCUGGUAGCUAACUGUGUCUGUGGUAGUGGCGCAAGUAAAUGUUCAUGGUUGCAAAAGUAUCCAGUAGUGCAGCUAAAGUUACACUUGUUUCCUUCUCUCCUCAUAUCGAGUCUACUGCUCUUGAAAUGUUGUCAUGCUGACACGAUGUGUUUGACUUUCCAGAAAUAUCUUGAAGAAAAAGAAACGCACACCUAUUAAGACGAGGUGCUGGCUAGCGUAGUAGAAAACUUGAAAACAAAAGAGAGCCGCACACUCUAGGAGCUCAGAUGCAAUCAUUUUAAUUACCAACGUUUCGGCAGCCAAGCUGUCUUCAUCAGGGUAUAAUCACAAACACUGCGGGAUGACUUGUUUAUACAGUGUCAAAAGACACAGGUGUCUGUAAUCAUGGCCAAGAGUGGCCUAAUUGGUUAAUAAUCAAAUAUUAAAAUGUCAUACAAAGAACAGCAUACAAACAAAUGGACAACAUACAAUCAUAGAUUAAUUUGACUACACAAGCUUACAAACAAUUACAAUGGCAAAGUCACAAUAAUCACAAGAAUGGCUUCAGAUCAAAGUCUACGUUGAGACCGAAGGGCACAAGGGUCUUUAAAUUAAACUUUCCAGAAAUAACACUGGACCUCAUCCAUAUUCCCGAACCUGGAUGUGGAAGCCAUGGAUCGUUAUGAUCAUAUGACAGAAGAACAAGCAGAGGUCAUCACCGAAGACACGGAGGAGAUGCGCCUGUUUCAGAUCCUUAUUCAUCAUGACACCCCAAUGUAAGAGCCAGUGCCACCCCGGGCAAGGAAGCUUGCUGGUGUGGAGGAGAUGGUGGCUGUCCAGAGGACGCUCCUGGGGGAGGUCAUGUCCCUGCGCAGGGUGCAGGAGGUGCUACUGAAGGUGGAAGGACCUGAGCCCUAGGACCAUGCCUCAGGACUACCUGGCAUGAUGACUCUUUGUUGUCCCCAGUCCACCUAGCCGUGCUGCUACUCCAGUUUCAACUGUUCUGCCUGCGGCUAUGGAACCCUGACCUGUUCACUGUGAUUACUAUUAUUUGACCAUGCUGGUCAUUUAUGAACAUUUGAACAUCUUGGCCAUGUUCUGUUAUAAUCUCCACCCGGUACAGCCAGAAGAGAA